rnacentral:rRNA from 1 species
UACCGAGUUUACAACUCCCAAACCCAAUGUGAACGUUACCAAACUGUUGCCUCGGCGGGAUCUCUGCCCCGGGUGCGUCGCAGCCCCGGACCAAGGCGCCCGCCGGAGGACCAACCAAAACUCUUUUGUAUACCCCCUCGCGGGUUUUUUUAUAUCUGAGCCAUCUCGGCGCCUCUCGUAGGCGUUUCGAAAAUGAAUCAAAACUUUCAACAACGGAUCUCUUGGUUCUGGCAUCGAUGAAGAACGCAGCGAAAUGCGAUAAGUAAUGUGAAUUGCAGAAUUCAGUGAAUCAUCGAAUCUUUGAACGCACAUUGCGCCCGCCAGUAUUCUGGCGGGCAUGCCUGUCCGAGCGUCAUUUCAACCCUCGAACCCCUCCGGGGGGUCGGCGUUGGGGAUCGGCCCUUUACGGGGCCGGCCCCGAAAUACAGUGGCGGUCUCGCCGCAGCCUCUCCUGCGCAGUAGUUUGCACACUCGCAUCGGGAGCGCGGCGCGUCCAUUGCCGUAAAACACCCAACUUUCUGAAAUGUUGACCUCGGAUCAGGUAGGAAUACCCGCUGAACUUAAGCAUA